AAACAGUGUUCAAACAGACCGAUUGGUGUUGAGCUACUGCUACUGAGGCCUCUACCCUGUCUCUCUUCCUCCAGGCCAUUGGUCAGGUCUCGGGAAGCCAUGGCUCGCCUUCCCAACCUGUUCAGCAAGAGUAGCACCCAGCUGGGGGAGCAGAGCUGCACAGGCGAGGGCGAAGACAACACCAAGCUCCUCGGGUUGCCUAAUAUUGGCAACACCUGCUUCAUGAACUCUGCUCUGCAGUGCCUGCUGGGGCUGCCAGCAUUUUGCAGAGACAUCCUGAGACAGCAGAAUAUCUGGAGUUCCUCCCCCUCCUCUAAACUGCUAUGCUGCUUUGCCGAGUUACAUCAGGCCAGGCUUUCUGGAGGCACUGUUAAUGCUAAGAACAAGGAAAAUAAGAAAAUCCUUCAAACAGUCAAGCGCUGUCUUUCCGUUGUCAAUGAGGACUAUGAGGACGACAAUGAACAGGUAAGAUAUUAUUUGCUAAAAGACUCACUUAACAAUAAACCUGGGACACGUGACAGUGUUUUUCCUCAGCUCUGUUUCAGUUGUAGUUGUUGAUGUAUUUUCUGCUUCUUUCCCAUUCUUCUCUUAGGAUGCCCAUGAAUGUGUGUUGCUCCUCCUCUUUCAGCUGAAGGAGGAGGGUAUGGCAUUAAAGGGCUCACCAGAGCCAUACACCUGCCCCGUGAAGCAGUUAGAAUUCAAGCUGAAGACUUCCCGUACCUGCACCAGCUGUGGAGUUAUAGUGUAUGGUCAGGAGGAUUACAAUCACUUGUCCCUGAGCCUGAGCCAUUACCUGCCACACAGCCUGGACCUCUACUUUAAGGUCAGCACUUAGCUUAAACCAAGAGUUAGUAUGUCAAGGAACACUAUCAUUAAUGUCAUAAUGUUCAUAAUUGUAUUGCUAUCCUUUGUCACCUAGCCAUCUGCGUUAGAGUGUGCAUGCAGGGUGUGCUCAGGCAGCAUGGCAUCUGUGACUAUGCACUUCCUCACGCUGCCCCGGGUCCUAAUGCUUCAUAUCAAGCGAUUUACUGCAGGCGACUGGGAGCCAAAGAAGGUGGAUGAUCCCAUGUCCAUCCCUGCAGAAAUAACCC